rnacentral:misc_RNA from 1 species
GAAUGUAAAUUCCGGUGUUCGGGUUUCGAGACUGGGAUUGGGCUUGACGGCGGCGAUAGGCAGCGGAGCGGCAGCAUAGGUAAGAUGAAAGGAUGAGAGUUGAUAGGAGGAAGAGGAAGGCAAGGGCAAUUGCAAUUGCGUAGCCGAGGCCUAUUUUGUUGAGGCUCUCGAUGAGCGUAUUGGUGGUGGUUAGAGGUGGUGGUGG